GAUGAACGCUGGCGGCGUGCUUAACACAUGCAAGUCGAACGGAAAGGCCCAAGCUUGCUUGGGUACUCGAGUGGCGAACGGGUGAGUAACACGUGGGUGAUCUGCCCUGCACUUCGGGAUAAGCCUGGGAAACUGGGUCUAAUACCGGAUAGGACCACUUCUUGGAUGUUGUGGUGGAAAGUUUUUUCGGUGUGGGAUGAGCUCGCGGCCUAUCAGCUUGUUGGUGGGGUAAUGGCCUACCAAGGCGUCGACGGGUAGCCGGCCUGAGAGGGUGUACGGCCACAUUGGGACUGAGAUACGGCCCAGACUCCUACGGGAGGCAGCAGUGGGGAGUAUUGCACAAUGGGCGCAAGCCUGAUGCAGCGACGCCGCGUGGGGGAGGACGGCCUUCGGGUUGUAAACUCCUUUCGCUAGGGACGAAGCGUUUUGUGACGGUACCUGGAGAAGAAGCACCGGCUAACUACGUG
rnacentral:rRNA from 1 species